UCACAAUCAUGUGAGAUAUAUUAUUCAUAUUAUAAAGAGGACCUACUUUUCUGUGACUAUAAAUACAUAUCUAAUUCCAUGGUUAAUGCAUAUAUAUAUCAACUUAAGAUUACAGAUUCUUUAAUCUAACUUAAUGAUUUUGUUGUUUUAGUAAUUGAUAUAUAUGCAUUUAUAUAUCAUUGACGUAUAUGUUUAUGUUACCAUGUUAAUUUGUGAAG
rnacentral:misc_RNA from 1 species